AAAAAAAAUGUUUAAGAAUAAAAGGCUCUUCUGACAGAGAGUCACAUGAGCUCCUGGCAGCACCCCGAUCUACUUCAAAGAAGACGGGCACGGAAGAACCUCCAUCUGGAGUUCGCUUUCAUUGCAGCAAAGAUGGCCACUAGGCAAUAAAUAAAUAAAAAGAUAAAAUAAAGUAUCACUCCUUACCUCACCUGCUGACAGCAUUGCUGCCCAAAGUGCGGACAAGCAGGACACUGGGAAGUCAACUGCCAACUUUGCCAAGACAAGGCAGGGCAAUUCUUCAAAACUCCUGCUUCAUAAAUAAGUCUGUCAGGUAUUCUGGGCCUGCUGGCCAAAGACUGGACGCCACACUGACACAGGGAACCUUGGGUGACUGACCAGGUAGCCAGCCAUCUGUCAUUUCUAUAGUUUUGGAAGCUGCUUGCCCUGCACUUCCUGCUUACUUGAGUACAAUUUACUCUUCUCGGGUCUCUGAUGGGGUUGAAGACUGGAUAGUUACAGCCUUACAGUUUUCCUUAUUAAAGAUUGAAGACAGAAAAGCUUGAGUUGUCUAGGAUCCGUGAAAAUGUUUUAAGGUCUAAAAGAUGUUUUAGGUUGAUAAAUGGAAGUUAUGAUAAGAAAGCGAUUUAGGUACAGAACUUUGGAGUCACCAGGGCAGGAUAGGGAAUGGAAUGCUUUCUCCAAGUUCACCAAAAACGAAUGGACUGCACACUGUGAAUGUAAUUCUUAUUUGAUAGUUCUCAUGACUGUUUUGAUUGUUUCUAGUUGAUUGAUGUUAGGGACAAGGCCAUUUAUUGGACUAAAGGGGGGGAAUGUAGUGAUGAUUUUGGUUUCUUUACAUUAUGGUCUUGUUUUAAUCCCAGGUGUGGGAUAUGGGGCUGCUUCAGAGCGCCCUCAGCUGCUAACCGUGAUUUGUCUCCUGCUCUAGGAGGGGAGUGACUUUUUCCAGAUGCGGAUCGUUUAUGUUUGGAAUUCUGGGGACUUUUGAGAGGGUAUAAAUGCCAGAGCCCUGAGAGGCUGCUGGUUCCUGUUGUUGCGUUUGCUGGGUUGGUUUGCUGGUUUGCUGGUUUUCUGAAUUGCUAGUUUGAUGAUACCCUGACAAUGAAGAUUUGACACGGAAACUUCUGGUUUCUUUGGGAAGUGAGUUACGUCGAAUGAUGUUUUGCUGGGGCACACAGGCGACGAGGUGUUUUUGCUGUAGCAGACACAUGAAAGGAUGCACGAUGUUGAGAAAGAAUAUAAAUAUGGC
ensembl:lncRNA